rnacentral:tRNA from 1 species
CGGAAUGUAGCACAACUUGGUAGUGCGUCUGGUUUGGGACCAGAAGGUUGCAGGUUCAAAUCCUGUCAUUCCGACCA